UGGAGACCCGGCUCUGUUGGAA
rnacentral:miRNA from 1 species